UGUGAGCUCGAUGAGUAGGGCGGGACACGUGGUAUCCUGUCUGAAUAUGGGGGGACCAUCCUCCAAGGCUAAAUACUCCUGACUGACCGAUAGUGAACCAGUACCGUGAGGGAAAGGCGAAAAGAACCCCGGCGAGGGGAGUGAAAAAGAACCUGAAACCGUGUACGUACAAGCAGUGGGAGCCUCUUAAUGGGGUGACUGCGUACCUUUUGUAUAAUGGGUCAGCGACUUAUAUUCUGUAGCAAGGUUAACCGAAUAGGGGAGCCGAAGGGAAACCGAGUCUUAACUGGGCGUUAAGUUGCAGGGUAUAGACCCGAAACCCGGUGAUCUAGCCAUGGGCAGGUUGAAGGUUGGGUAACACUAACUGGAGGACCGAACCGACUAAUGUUGAAAAAUUAGCGGAUGACUUGUGGCUGGGGGUGAAAGGCCAAUCAAACCGGGAGAUAGCUGGUUCUCCCCGAAAGCUAUUUAGGUAGCGCCUCGUGAAUUCAUCUCCGGGGGUAGAGCACUGUUUCGGCAAGGGGGUCAUCCCGACUUACCAACCCGAUGCAAACUGCGAAUACCGGAGAAUGUUAUCACGGGAGACACACGGCGGGUGCUAACGUCCGUCGUGAAGAGGGAAACAACCCAGACCGCCAGCUAAGGUCCCAAAGUCAUGGUUAAGUGGGAAACGAUGUGGGAAGGCCCAGACAGCCAGGAUGUUGGCUUAGAAGCAGCCAUCAUUUAAAGAAAGCGUAAUAGCUCACUGGUCGAGUCGGCCUGCGCGGAAGAUGUAACGGGGCUAAACCAUGCACCGAAGCUGCGGCAGCGACACUAUGUGUUGUUGGGUAGGGGAGCGUUCUGUAAGCCUGUGAAGGUGGCCUGUGAGGGUUGCUGGAGGUAUCAGAAGUGCGAAUGCUGACAUAAGUAACGAUAAAGCGGGUGAAAAGCCCGCUCGCCGGAAGACCAAGGGUUCCUGUCCAACGUUAAUCGGGGCAGGGUGAGUCGACCCCUAAGGCGAGGCCGAAAGGCGUAGUCGAUGGGAAACAGGUUAAUAUUCCUGUACUUGGUGUUACUGCGAAGGGGGGACGGAGAAGGCUAUGUUGGCCGGGCGACGGUUGUCCCGGUUUAAGCGUGUAGGCUGGUUUUCCAGGCAAAUCCGGAAAACCAAGGCUGAGGCGUGAUGACGAGGCACUACGGUGCUGAAGCGACAAAUGCCCUGCUUCCAGGAAAAGCCUCUAAGCAUCAGGUAACAUCAAAUCGUACCCCAAACCGACACAGGUGGUCAGGUAGAGAAUACCAAGGCGCUUGAGAGAACUCGGGUGAAGGAACUAGGCAAAAUGGUGCCGUAACUUCGGGAGAAGGCACGCUGAUAUGUAGGUGAAGCGACUUGCUCGUGGAGCUGAAAUCAGUCGAAGAUACCAGCUGGCUGCAACUGUUUAUUAAAAACACAGCACUGUGCAAACACGAAAGUGGACGUAUACGGUGUGACGCCUGCCCGGUGCCGGAAGGUUAAUUGAUGGGGUUAGCGGUAACGCGAAGCUCUUGAUCGAAGCCCCGGUAAACGGCGGCCGUAACUAUAACGGUCCUAAGGUAGCGAAAUUCCUUGUCGGGUAAGUUCCGACCUGCACGAAUGGCGUAAUGAUGGCCAGGCUGUCUCCACCCGAGACUCAGUGAAAUUGAACUCGCUGUGAAGAUGCAGUGUACCCGCGGCAAGACGGAAAGACCCCGUGAACCUUUACUAUAGCUUGACACUGAACAUUGAGCCUUGAUGUGUAGGAUAGGUGGGAGGCUUUGAAGUGUGGACGCCAGUCUGCAUGGAGCCGACCUUGAAAUACCACCCUUUAAUGUUUGAUGUUCUAACGUUGGCCCGUAAUCCGGGUUGCGGACAGUGUCUGGUGGGUAGUUUGACUGGGGCGGUCUCCUCCUAAAGAGUAACGGAGGAGCACGAAGGUUGGCUAAUCCUGGUCGGACAUCAGGAGGUUAGUGCAAUGGCAUAAGCCAGCUUGACUGCGAGCGUGACGGCGCGAGCAGGUGCGAAAGCAGGUCAUAGUGAUCCGGUGGUUCUGAAUGGAAGGGCCAUCGCUCAACGGAUAAAAGGUACUCCGGGGAUAACAGGCUGAUACCGCCCAAGAGUUCAUAUCGACGGCGGUGUUUGGCACCUCGAUGUCGGCUCAUCACAUCCUGGGGCUGAAGUAGGUCCCAAGGGUAUGGCUGUUCGCCAUUUAAAGUGGUACGCGAGCUGGGUUUAGAACGUCGUGAGACAGUUCGGUCCCUAUCUGCCGUGGGCGCUGGAGAACUGAGGGGGGCUGCUCCUAGUACGAGAGGACCGGAGUGGACGCAUCACUGGUGUUCGGGUUGUCAUGCCAAUGGCACUGCCCGGUAGCUAAAUGCGGAAGAGAUAAGUGCUGAAAGCAUCUAAGCACGAAACUUGCCCCGAGAUGAGUUCUCCCUGAGACUUAGAGUCUCCUGAAGGAACGUUGAAGACGACGACGUUGAUAGGCCGGGUGUGUAAGCGCAGCGAUGCGUUGAGCUAACCGGUACUAAUGAACCGUGAGGCUUAACCUU
rnacentral:rRNA from 1 species